AUUGAACGCUGGCGGCAUGCUUUACACAUGCAAGUCGAACGGCAGCGCGGGCUUCGGCCUGGCGGCGAGUGGCGAACGGGUGAGUAAUACAUCGGAACGUGCCCAGUAGUGGGGGAUAGCUCGGCGAAAGCCGGAUUAAUACCGCAUACGACCUGAGGGUGAAAGCGGGGGAUCUUCGGACCUCGCGCUAUUGGAGCGGCCGAUGGCAGAUUAGCUAGUUGGUGGGGUAAGGGCCUACCAAGGCGACGAUCUGUAGCUGGUCUGAGAGGACGACCAGCCACACUGGGACUGAGACACGGCCCAGACUCCUACGGGAGGCAGCAGUGGGGAAUUUUGGACAAUGGGCGAAAGCCUGAUCCAGCAAUGCCGCGUGUGUGAUGAAGGCCUUCGGGUUGUAAAGAACUUUUGGCGGGAACGAAAAGGAAUGUGCCAAUACCACGGUUCGAUGACGGUACCCGCAGAAUAAGCACCGGCUAACUACGUG
rnacentral:rRNA from 1 species